GAGAGUGAAGUGUAGAAUCCUUCUUUCAAGAAAAAGCUUGCGAUGAUGUCGUAUGGCUUGUCUGGAAACUUCGUUGGACAUGUUUUGCUCUCACAGAGGAGAGGGUGUGGAUCAGGAAGUAAAAGAUGUGAAAGCUGAAUCGAGGCCAAGAAAAACUUGGGCUUUCUCACUACAUAUGGAGCAAUCCUCUCUGAUGACCGCUCUCAUCCAUUCCAGGUGUCAUACUUCCUUCUACCACAAUACCUUUGCACAACGUGUUCAGUCUUUUCAGAGGACUGGUCCUUUCCAUUGUCAGCUGGCAUCAUUUCCUCCAGGAAGCAUUUAU